AUAGUGUUCUAAGAACGAAGUUUUUAGAGCAGCCUGGGCCUCAGGGAGGAAGGCAGGGGCUCCUUCUCUGAGAGAGUGAGUUGGGGGAACAAGGAGGGAGGGCUUCCCAUGGCCCUGAUUUCAGGAUGUUGACUUGGGCUUGAAGAAUGGAGAUAAAACUUGCGGGAAGUAACAGGCUUAAGCCACUCUCCCCUCAUUUCCUACUUCUGUCUCUUCCUCUAGGUACAGCUGUUGGGAGCUGCCUCUCAUGCCCUCAAUCUCCCUGCCUGUGGUUCAGAGGGAAGAAGAGGGGAAAAAAGGAUGAAGAGAAUUAUCUCAGUGCUGGUGAAGCGGAAACCAGAUGACCCAGCAGCCACGGGCCCAGCCGCCCCAGCUCAACCCCAGCAGGACGCUGGAGGGGCCUCCCUCUCCCGCCUCCCUCCGCCGGCGCUGGCCUCCCGGACCCGGGUCUGCAGUCCCUCCGCCAACCCGCAGGUGUGCAGCCGCUUGGCCUGGGGGAUCCGAAUGACUGGGGCUGGAUAGGAAUGUCUUCGUGUUUCCCCAGACCCCCGGGCCUGUUCCGCAAAGUUUGGAGGGUGGGUACACCCCGACCCAGGCAAGUUGCUCCCCUAAAACCCAUAACUGACUAAUCUGAUAUGACAAAAGCCCGUGAUGGAUUUGGUAUAUGUUAAUUCACAAUGCCCUUUCCUCCAGAAUUUAACUAUAAGUUAAUACACACCGGAAACCACGCGCAUACAUGCUCCUUAAUGGGCUUAGGUAUUAGCGAGUCCUAACGAUGCAUACAAAUGUGCUCUGCGCUCUGUAGGCCCCUCAAGAUUUAUGGGCCUUGAGCUCUCUGAAGCUGUAAACAAGGAGGGGGAAAAAAAAGAGAAAGCGAAAGAGACUGGGGGGAAGAGACAGAGGCCUGACUCGCCCCUCCAGGUUGUGGGAGAGAAGGGAUUCUUUACGUAUUUUCCUUUCCUUGCUAGCUCGGUGCGUGUGGGUUUUGGCGUCGGUCUGGGGUGGUGUUCCGCCUGAAUGCUGGCGUGCGUGGGCAGUGUGUUCUUUGCGUGCCAGGGGAGGAUGCCUGCCUCUUUAGAUUGCUGUGCAGGGGCCUGAACAUAGCAGGCAUUUGUGAGCAUAUAUGCGUGAGUGUGUGCACGGUGUUAGGGGGUGUGUGUGUGUGUGUGUGUGUGUGUGACAGGCAGGCUUCCCUUUGGGCCAGGCUGCUGUCCCCUGAACCUGGUGAACAAAUCUCUAACAACAAUCAUAAUAACAAUAAAUAACGAAUAAUAAUAAUAAAACAGUAGUUAGCAGUCCCUGAAUAACAGGAUAACAAUAAAAUGCAAGAGGAAAUAUUUUGAGGAGGGGACAGAGGAAGAAGUCAGGAUCACAGCAUCUGAGGGGAAGAUAGGAAAGGACGGGAGGAAGAAAGCUUCUUAAUAUGCUCUUGGGGAGCUGAGGUUGGGAACCCCUUUCCCGGUCAAGGGACAAAAGAGAAGGAGAGCCCAGAGGCCACUCUUUAUUGCUUUUUUUUCUCGGCCUUUUGCUUGUGAUCAGGGAAGGGAUCCCACAUAUGGGGGUGGUUAAUGGUUUUUGGGACUCUCUGGGAGCCCCUGUUUUAAGGAGGAGGCCAAAUGUGCAGGGUCAGGCCAAGGGGCAGAGAUGAAUGAGGCGAUGACCACAGACUUGAUCCGGCAAGAGCGCAGAAAUGCCCGAGAGGACGAGCCCCCAGGGCCCGGACUGAAGAAGAAAAACAUUUAUGGCCGCCGGGGAGUGGGGAGAGCCAGACUGGGGCUCCAGCAGGCCCAGGACAAGUUCCCUUUCUAGGGUCUUUAUUUACAAAUUUAAAAGGAGGAGUUAAGGCGCCUUGAAUUUUCCUUCGCGAGCUUGGAGCCUAGCCGAUUUUUCAUGAAGGCAAAGACCACAGUCCCGGAUCCUGCAACAUCCACCUCAUUCUCUUCAGGUACAGUUUUCUGGUCAUUUAAUGAGUUUGUUUAUUCGGGGAGUCAGAGGCGUAGAGAUACUAAGUUUGCUGGAGAGGAAGCCGCCCCACAGUUUCGGGUCUAACGAAAUCCCUCCUUUAAAAACUAUUGUAUCAAGAAAAAUAAAAAUCAAAGAGGAAUAUAGAAACACAAAUUAGCCAACAUUUUUCAAAAGACAAGAAAAGAAAAUCAUCGUAACAAAUGAGCGUGAGAACUUCUAAAGAUUUGUCAGAAACCCUUUCAGAGGGUUGGAUUCUUUUUCAGAAGCCGGUGACCCAUUUGGUCUGAAGAGAGAAAUAGCCUAUCCACUGAGUUACUUAUUUAAAGCCAGUGCACACACUCAUUCGAGAAAGCUCUGGGUGCCCUCGCAUUUGAGAACAACACCGGGUUAAGGACGCUGCGAUACCUAGUCGGACAAAACAGCAAUAAAAUAAGACCAGUGGACGCGCUGAGCGCAGAGCGCGGGGCGAGGGCCCAGGUUU
rnacentral:lncRNA from 1 species